GUUGCUAUGGGUCCAGAGUGUGGGGUGGAAGCUGUCUCCCUCUGGACCUUUGUGUAUCACAGCCAUGAUGAGAGUCACACCCAACAUCAAGAUGGCUUUUUUCUUACACAGGAAAUUAACAGAUCAUUACUCAGUUGAAUUUGAUUACCACAAUGGAGUUAGUUUCAGUGUUCAUUCUGAAGAGAAAAGGGAACCACAUUCUGGCCCAGAUGAAC
rnacentral:lncRNA from 1 species